rnacentral:rRNA from 1 species
GCGGAGGAAAAGAAACCAACAGGGAUUGCCUUAGUAGCGGCGAGUGAAGCGGCAAAAGCUCAAAUUUGAAAGCUGGCUUUCGGGCCCGCGUUGUAAUUUGCAGACUUGGAACUUUGGGCGUAGGUUGGCUAAGUCCCUUGGAACAGGGUGCCUUAGAGGGUGAGAGCCCCGUGAGCCGACUUUUGCGUCUUUUAAGUCCUUGUCGACGAGUCGAGUUGUUUGGGAAUGCAGCUCUAAGUGGGUGGUAAAUUCCAUCUAAAGCUAAAUAUUGGCGGGAGACCGAUAGCGAACAAGUACAGUGAUGGAAAGAUGAAAAGCACUUUGAAAAGAGAGUGAAACAGUACGUGAAAUUGUUGAAAGGGAAGGGUAUUUGAUCCGACAUGAAGAUUAGCUAUCGUUGCUCCUUGUGGGCGGCGCUCUAGGUUUUCUUUGGGCCAGCAUCAGUUUUGUCGGGAGGAGAACAGUGUCUGAUCUGCUUCGGCGGUGACGGCUCUUAUGCUCCCAGAUGGGACUGAGGACUGCCAUUGUAGGAUGCUGGCAUAACGGUCAAAUAUCGCCCGUCUUGA